rnacentral:rRNA from 1 species
CCUGGUUGAUCCUGCCAGUAGUCAUAUGCUUGUCUCAAAGACUAAGCCAUGCAUGUCUAAGUAUAAACGCUUCUAUACUGUGAAACUGCGAAUGGCUCAUUAAAUCAGUUAUAGUUUAUUUGAUGGUUCCUUACUACUUGGAUAACCGUAGUAAUUCUAGAGCUAAUACAUGCAGAAAGUCCCGACUUCUUGGAAGGGAUGUAUUUAUUAGAUCCAAAACCAGCGCGAGUUUCCUUCGGGGGCUCGGUUGCAUGGUGAUUCAUGAUAACUGCUCGAAUCGCAUGGCCUUGCGCCGGCGAUGAUCCAUUCAAAUUUCUGCCCUAUCAACUUUCGAUGGCAAGGUAGUGGCUUGCCAUGGUGACAACGGGUGACAAAGAAUUAGGGUUCGAUUCCGGAGAGGGAGCCUGAGAAACGGCUACCACAUCCAAGGAAGGCAGCAGGCGCGCAAAUUACCCAAUCCCGACUCGGGGAGGUAGUGACAAUAAAUAACAAUGCAGGGCUAUCGUAGUCUACCAAUUGGAAUGAGUACAAUCUAAACCCCUUAACGAGGAACAAUUGGAGGGCAAGUCUCGUGCUAGCAGCCGCGGUAAUUCCAGCUCCAAUAGCGUAUAUUAAAGUUGUUGCAGUUAAAAAGCUCGUAGUUGGAUUUCGGGGCAGCCCGGCUGGUCCGUCGCAAGGCGAGUACUGGUCGGCCGCCCUUCCUCUCGAAAGCCCCGACUGCUCUUCACUGUAGUGGUCGGGGAGUUCGGGACGUUUACUUUGAAAAAAUUAGAGUGUUCAAGGCAGGCCAUCGCCUGAAUACAUUAGCAUGGAAUAAUGGAAGAGGACCUCGGUCCUAUUUUGUUGGUUUCUAGGGCCGAAGUAAUGAUUAAGAGGGACAGUUGGGGGCAUUCGUAUUUAAUUGUCAGAGGUGAAAUUCUCGGAUUUAUGAAAGACGAACAACUGCGAAAGCAUUUGCCAAGGAUGUUUUCAUUAAUCAAGAACGAAAGUUAGGGGUUCGAAGACGAUCAGAUACCGUCGUAGUCCUAACCAUAAACUAUGCCGACUAGG